GAUGAACGCUGGCGGCGUGCCUAAUACAUGCAAGUCGAGCGAACAGACGAGGAGCUUGCUCCUYYGACGUUAGCGGCGGACGGGUGAGUAACACGUGGAUAACCUACCUAUAAGACUGGGAUAACUUCGGGAAACCGGAGCUAAUACCGGAUAACAUGUUGAACCGCAUGGUUCAACAGUGAAAGACGGUCUUGCUGUCACUUAUAGAUGGAUCCGCGCCGCAUUAGCUAGUUGGUAAGGUAACGGCUUACCAAGGCAACGAUGCGUAGCCGACCUGAGAGGGUGAUCGGCCACACUGGAACUGAGACACGGUCCAGACUCCUACGGGAGGCAGCAGUAGGGAAUCUUCCGCAAUGGGCGAAAGCCUGACGGAGCAACGCCGCGUGAGUGAUGAAGGUCUUCGGAUCGUAAAACUCUGUUAUUAGGGAAGAACAAAUGUGUAAGUAACUAUGCACGUCUUGACGGUACCUAAUCAGAAAGCCACGGCUAACUACGUGCC
rnacentral:rRNA from 1 species